rnacentral:rRNA from 1 species
UACAGAGGGGGCUAGCGUUGUUCGGAAUUACUGGGCGUAAAGCGCGCGCAGGCGGCCUUGCAAGUCAGAGGUGAAAGCCCGGAGCUCAACUCCGGAGUUGCGCUUGGGACGGUAGGGCUUGAGAUCGGGAGAGGAGAGUGGAAUUCCCAGUGUAGAGGUGAAACUCGUAGAUAUUGGGAAGAACACCGGUGGCGAAGGCGGCUCUCUGGACCGACACUGACGCUGAGGCGCGAAAGCGUGGGGAGCAAACAGG